GCUUCGCUUUAUGUAUUUUGGGAGUCGAGCCUACCCUCCCCCUCCGACGCCUGGAAGUUUCUAUUCAACUCAUUUGCUCUUCAUAUCCAUUUCGCAUGGUUGGCUCCCUUGAGGAUGUGGGCCUCAGCGAGAAUUGCGCGAUGGGAGCUAUGCCGAGUGGCGUAGUAUAGCCACUAGUGUUCUUUGUUUGAUUUGUUCGUGUUAGGACCAUGAGGCAGCAUGUCAAUCAAAAUAUUUCUCAACUUGUAGCUUAAAUAUUCAGAUAUUUGUGUUCAAUUU